rnacentral:rRNA from 1 species
UACGGAGGGUCCGAGCGUUAUCCGGAAUCAUUGGGUUUAAAGGGUCCGUAGGCGGGACAUUAAGUCAGGGGUGAAAUGUUGCAGCUCAACUGCAGAAUGGCCUUUGAUACUGGUGUUCUUGAGUUAUGUUGCUGUGGUCGGAACAUGUGGUGUAGCGGUGAAAUGCAUAGAUAUCCCAUAGAACGCCGAUUGCGAAGGCAGGUCACAAAACAUAUACUGACGAUGAGGGACGAAAGCGUGGGGAGCGAACGGG